GUUCUCAGUUCGGACUGUAGGCUGCAACUCGCCUACACGAAGUCGGAAUCGCUAGUAAUCGCGGAUCAGCAUGCCGCGGUGAAUACGUUCCCCGGGCCUUGUACACACCGCCCGUCACACCAUGGGAGUUUGUAACGCCCAAAGUCGGUGGCCUAACCUUUAUGGAGGGAGCCGCCUAAGGCGGGACAGAUGACUGGGGUGAAGUCGUAACAAGGUAAC
rnacentral:rRNA from 1 species